rnacentral:rRNA from 1 species
GACGAACGCUGGCGGCGUGCUUAACACAUGCAAGUGGAGCGACGAACCAGGCUUCGGCCUGGGGCAAAGCCGCGAACGGGUGAGUAACACGUGGGUAACCUGCCCCGAUGACUGGGACAACCCGGGGAAACUCGGGCUAAUACCAGAUGUGGUCACUCCACACGAGUGGAAUGACUAAAGGUAGCUUCGGCCUCCGCAUCGGGAUGGGCCCGCGGCGCAUUAGCUUGUUGGUGGGGUAAUGGCCUACCAAGGCGACGAUGCGUAGCUGGUCUGAGAGGACGAUCAGCCACACUGGGACUGAGACACGGCCCAGACUCCUACGGGAGGCAGCAGUGGGGAAUCUUGCGCAAUGCGCGAAAGCGUGACGCAGCAACGCCGCGUGGAGGAAGAC